CCUGAUGAAUGUUGGGGGGCUUUGCACGGUUGUCCAUGAUGAGAACGGAAAAAUUAUUGCUGCAGCGAACUGGAAAACUACCGGAGCUACACAGCGUCGCCAUCCAUCCCUUAUAUUAUAUUACAAUGAAUAUUCAUCGAUUCCUUUCGGGUCAUGGACGCAUCCAAUAAUCCAUCCCUUAUAUUAUAUGAAUGAAUCAAAUUCAAUUAUAUCGAUAUUGCAUCAAAGGCGUCAGACAACUUUUACAUUAUGAGUAAAAUGUUCAAAACGUUUUUUUACCGUCAAUGAGGCUUCCAAAUACUAGCAACAAUUUAUAUAACAAUUAAUAUUAUUCGUUUAUAAUAUGAAUGAAUCAAAUUCAAUUCAUAUAUAUCACAUCGAAGGCAUCAGGCAACUUUUACAUUAUGAGUGAAGCGUUCAUAAUGCUUUUUAGGGUUAAUGGGGCUUCCAAAUACCAGCAACAAUUUAUAUAACAUUUAUAUAACAAAUAAUAUAAUUCAUUGAUUCCUUUCGGAUCAUUGAGGCAUCCAAUCCAUCCCUUAUAUUAUGAAUAAAUCAAAUUCAAUUCAUAUUGAUAUCACAUCAAAGGCAUCAGGCCACUUUUACAUUAUGAGUGAAGUGUGUUCAUAAUGUUUUUAGGGUCAAUGGGUCUUCCAAUUACCAGCAACCGUUUAUAUAACAAAUAUUAUACAUUUAUUCCUUUCAGGUCAUCGAGGCAGCCUAUAAUCUCAAAAUUUUGCCUCAUAUUUGUAUUCAUUGAUUCCUUUCAGGUCAUCGAAGC
rnacentral:lncRNA from 1 species